AGUCAGACAGAUCUUGAAUCUUAGCUCUCUAGCUGACUAGCUUCAGGACUUUGUAAAAGAAUCACUUAAUAAUUCCUGCUAGGGUUCGAAUGUCCCCACCAAAGUGCAUGUGGAAAUUUCAUUCUCAUUGUGAGGUACUGAGGAGAUGGAAAAUUUAAAGGUGAUUAGGUCAUUAGGGCUCUGCCAUGAAUAGAUUAAUGGGUUAGUGACUUAUCUCAAGAUCGAGCCUAUGACACAAGCCAAUUUGGCUCUGUUUUUUGUAUGUACCUAUCUUAUCAUGUGAUACCCUGUACCUUCUUGGGACUCUACAAAGAGCCUGCACCAGCAAGUAAAGAAGUAUCCUGUGAAAGGCACAUUGUAAAGACCCAUGACCAAAUUCCCUAGAACCACAUCAGUGCAGGGAUAGAGUUUAUAGUUCUCUUGAGAAACUUAAGACCAAAUCAUAUAUAUGCAAUCUGAACAAGAUACCUCACCAAAGAAAGUGGAAAAUAGCCAUAUGAAAAGAUGUUCAACAUCAACUGUCGCUAGAGAACUGAAAAUAAAUUAAAACAAUGAGACACUGUAGCACACCUAUUAAAAUGGCUGAAAUCCCAAAGUGGAUAUCACAAAAUGCUGGAGAGGAUAUGGAGCAACAGGAACUCUCCUUCAUUGCUAGUGGAAGCACAAAAUGGUACAAAAUUGUGGAAGACAGUUUGGCAGUUUCUUAUACAACUAAACUGACUCCUACCAUAUGAUCC
rnacentral:lncRNA from 1 species